UACGGAGGAUCCGAGCGUUAUCCGGAUUUAUUGGGUUUAAAGGGUGCGCAGGCGGAAGAUUAAGUCGGUGGUGAAAUUUUGCAGCUCAACUGUAAAAGUGCCAUUGAUACUGGUUUCUUGAGUGUGGAUGAAGUAGGCGGAAUUUGUGGUGUAGCGGUGAAAUGCAUAGAUAUCACGAGGAACUCCGAUUGCGCAGGCAGCUUACUAAACUACUACUGACGCUCAGGCACGAAGGCGUGGGGAUCAAACAGGAUUAGAUACCCCU
rnacentral:rRNA from 1 species